CUAGGGGAGAAGUUACCCGCUGGUCGACUUGGAAGACUCGUCCCCACUUUUACCUUCUCCGCCACGGACUCACCCAAACCUUCACCUCCAUCGCCCUGUACAAAGCCACUGCCAUCCCUCUUCACAUACUGUGGCUCUUCUAACCCGGGGAAACAGAUCACCACGAGGCACAAACAGGAAGUCUUUGUCGAAGAUGUCUACAUGACGCGUCCAUGUCCUCACACGCUGAUGUCUUCUGACCUGA